rnacentral:rRNA from 1 species
GUAGGGAAUAUUGCACAAUGGGCGAAAGCCUGAUGCAGCAACGCCGCGUGAGCGAUGAAGGCCUUCGGGUCGUAAAGCUCUUUUCUGGGAGAUGAGAAAGGACAGUAUCCCAGGAAUAAGUCUCGGCUAACUACGUGCCAGCAGCCGCGGUAAAACGUAGGAGGCAAGCGUUAUCCGGAUUCACUGGGCGUAAAGCGCGUGCAGGCGGUUUGGUAAGUUGGGCGUGAAAUCUCCCGGCUCAACUGGGAGGGGUCGUUCAAUACUACCAGACUCGAGAGCGAUAGAGGAAAAUGGAAUUCCCGGUGUAGUGGUGAAAUGCGUAGAUAUCGGGAGGAACACCAGUGGCGAAAGCGAUUUUCUGGAUCGUUUCUGACGCUCAGACGCGAAAGCUAGGGUAGCAAACGGGAUUAGAUACCCCGGUAGUCC